rnacentral:piRNA from 1 species
UGCAACUACUAUGUACUCAAGGGAUUCACAU